CAGAGCUGAUGUGGGGCUUGAACGUGUAAAACAACAAAUCAUGACCUGAGCCAAAGUCGGAUGCUUAACUGACUGAGCUACCCAGGGGCCCUGUUAAAACCUAAAAUGUUUUAAUGAAAUGUAGCAAUCAUUGUUUCGAGAAGUGUACUCUAAAAGCUCACUCCGUGGAUACCAUCAUUUCUCCCCAGAUAUUUCUGUGAUUGCAAAUAUGUAUUUUCAAGGAUUUGUGAAGAAACUGGAGUGUGUGCAAAAAUCACAAGAAAUUGGACAAUGUUUCUGUUUUGAAACUUCUGCUACCGACUGUAACAGAAAUGAGACUACUAAUGUUACAAUAAAUCCUAUGCUGCAUCUUCUAUCUAAACCAACAUUCACAUCAAAACUAUUAUUGAUUAGCCAUCUCACAGCAUUUCCACCCCUUGGUAAUCCUAGUAAAGUGUAUGAGGUUUAAAUCUGUUGGUGGCUGACAAAGGUGUGAACUCAGAGCAUUUAUAGUCCAUUUAGAACAAUGUCUCUCAAAGUCAAAAACAACCACCGCUUCUCAAUAUUGGCAUUGUAUGAGUUUCAUGUUUGCUUUCCUUUGUUCAGCUCAAGUUUGGAAAUGUGUGAAAAUGUACAAAAAGCACGAGAAUUGAGAAGCACUUGACUUCUGAGGUAGGAAAUUAGAAAUAAUUCUUAAUCUUAAUAUUUCCCCUUCUUGAUGUCGUGCCACAAUUCAGGUAAGUUUCCUUUGAUUUAUUCUUUAUAUAGUGUGCAAUCAAGUUUUCUCCUUUCCAUUAUGUUCUGUUGUUUGUAUUACUCCUAGAUAACCAGGAAAGUGUAGGGAGACAUAUAUUGUCAGGAGACAAUAUAUGGGAAAUCUGAUGGAUUUCAAAGUAUUAAGUGAUAGAUCAAUCCAAGAGUCAUUAUUUGUUGUCUACUUUUCUCCUUGUAUUUGAUAUCCAAAAUCAAGACCACAGGCCCAGCUCUCUUCUAAAUUUGUGUCAUUAAAGAAAAUUUAAGACCACACCCUCUAUCAGAAGCCCCCACAAGUUGUCCUGGGAGUGCAAAGUACAAACAUCAUUUGUCUUGGGACAAAAGGAAAGGUUUCUACAGGUAGGAACAAUUGAGGGGACAUUGGGUGUAGCGGAGUUUGGCCACACAGUAAGGAUGGAUCAAAUUCCCCGGAAAAUGGGAAGGCUGAACAUGUACCUACGAAUUGAAACAGCUGCAGUUUUUAAUCGUCCUGCGAAGAAGCAUGGGGUGAGGCUACCCCUGGUUAUCAGGAGACAGAAAUGUUUACUGAACGGAGCAACUGCAGGAUCAGGUGGGUGUUUGCCUUCCGGUGGGCAUUUCAGAAGGUAAGGGUGGAUGCCUUAAGCCUGCAUGAGGCCAGGGAACAGGGAAGUGCUGCCAUCGUCUUUGACAUAGCUCCACCUAGCGGCCAGCCGUGUUUACUACCACUCGGUUCACCCAACCUUCUUCGGGUGUCUGCCAAAGUCACUCAAGAACUACAAUCCCUCCGUUUUCUAGAGUUGAAGAAUAAAGACCCAAAUUAGUGAGACACAACAAAAACUCCUCAAAUUUCAUCAACAGAUCACUAAUAAAGAUAUUUAAAAUGCGUGUAAUUUACCAAAUGUUGUUAUGACCUUCCCAUAUUUUGAAGCUCAAAUCUGUUUAAAAUAUGCUUCGUGGGCUUUGAUACACCGAUAAUCUUAUAUGUUACUGUGCAGGAAAACGUGAUGGCAGUAAGAGAUUUCUACUUUCUAGUCACUGAGUGGCAAAAAAAUCAAAGUGAAGAAUUUAUCUCCUAGGAUUGGAACCAAGCACAGCCAAUUUCCAUCCCCUCCUCAGCUUUGUACCCCACGGUUCCUCAAAACUAGGUUCUGGGCCCACAUGUUUCAAAUCGCUGAGCUAACGUGAGUGAGAAUUCAUAUCCUAUAGAAGCUAAGUGUAUUAAGUAGUAAACCAGAAGGUUUUAAUUUUAAACAGUGAGUCAAAUUGAAAUGGGAAUUUUAUGACACAUUAUGUGCUUGACAGAUGAAGCAUAUUUGUGUAAGCAACAUAACUAUGGAGUAUUGUAUAGAGAGAGUAAUAUUAAUGAAAUUAAAUGUUCAUGUCUGGUUUUGUCCACAAGACAAGGAAAACAUGAUAUUUAUUGACCACAGAUAAUUCUUCACAUUUAUCAAUCCUCACAUUCAAAAUUUCUGAAACUGCUGUCUCUUUUGAAAGUUCGGUUCCAUGUGGAAUAAAAACACAUGUGGCACCAUUCCUGUCAUCAGGAAAUCUCAGUCCUCCCAGAAUUAAAUUAAAACAUAAUCGGAUGAUGAAAUAGGUGAGUCCUGGUAUGGUAGGGUGGCAAGAGGACCCUUUAACAUAAGGAGCCCCUUCUGAAUCAAUCUCAUUUCAGAACUGAGCCCCCUUUGAAAGGAGUUGGAAACCAGAGAAAAAUCUCCUAGAGGAGGAGUCCACUCUAUUGCAACCUCCUUUUUGCUGAUCAUGACUUGGACUGUUGUACGAGAUGUUGAAUUGAGUUUCUCCCAUUGAUUGGUUCAACCUCUCAGCUGCUGCUGUGGGUCUGAGCCACGGCCAGGUUGGAGUGGUUCUGCGAGUUGGGAGGAUCUCUCAGCCUAGACUGGCAAUCGCAGGCAGAAAUAGAAUGGGACCCACCCAUGUCAACUACAGAUUGUCUAGUAGCUCUAUGGUAAAAAGAAACAAGUCAAAAAUCAAAUCAUUGUAAUGGGCAAAAUGGUACCACUUCAACGUGUAUUUGAUUUCAAAAAUACAUUGUUUUUAAAACCUCAA